UACAGAGGUGGCAAGCGUUGUUCGGAAUUACUGGGCGUAAAGCGCACGUAGGCGGAUUGGAAAGUUGGGGGUGAAAUCCCGGGGCUCAACCCCGGAACUGCCUUCAAAACUCCCAGUCUGGAGGUCGAGAGAGGUGAGUGGAAUUCCGAGUGUAGAGGUGAAAUUCGUAGAUAUUCGGAGGAACACCAGUGGCGAAGGCGGCUCACUGGCUCGAUACUGACGCUGAGGUGCGAAAGCGUGGGGAGCAAACAGG
rnacentral:rRNA from 1 species